CCUACGGGAGGCAGCAGUGGGGAAUAUUGCACAAUGGGGGAAACCCUGAUGCAGCGACGCCGCGUGAGUGAAGAAGUCUUUCGGUAUGUAAAGCUCUAUCAGCAGGGAAGAAAAUUACGGUACCUGCUUAAUAAGCCCCGGCUACCUACGUUCCAGCCGCAGCGGUAAUACGUAGGGGGCAGGCGUUAUCCGGAUUUACUGGGUGUAAAGGGGGCGUAGACGGCAGCACAGGAAUGGAGUGAAAUGCCGGGGCUUAACCCCGGAACUGCUUUGGAAACUGUGCAGCUAGAGUGCAGGAGAGGUAAGUGGAAUGCCUAGUGUAGCGGUGAAAUGCGUAGAUAUUAGGAGGAACACCAGUGGCGAAGGCGGCUUACUGGACUGUAACUGACGCUGAGGCUCGAAAGCGUGGGGAGCAAACAGGAUUAGAUACCCCUGUAGUC
rnacentral:rRNA from 1 species